CAGCCGGCAAGCCAGGGGCGAGAUCUAUGGGCUGCACAGGCUCUUCCUGCAGAAGAGGGGGCUGAACAUCAGAGAGGCAAGAGAGCUGUGGUGUCGGGAUGGGCUCCAGGACACCGAGAGCCUGGGCUAUAGGAACAUGGCCAGGAUGGGGGGAGCGAAGGUCUUGUGCCAGGUGCCCGAAGCACUGUAGGGGCUCUGCUCCGUGGGACAGCCUUGAAGGGCCCCCAUUCACAUGACCACAAGCUCCCACACUCUGCCACAGGAGUCCAGCUGGCUGUUCCAAUACACGAUGAAAACUAUGCCACUGAAGUCUCACAGCACCUGUGCAGUGAAGUGCCGCAUAAACCCGCUGUGCUGCUGUGACGGAGCAGGGAGCGGGGCGGAUUUGACCUGGGAAUGUUGGCGGGGAGUUACAUUGGGGAUGAGAAGGAAGCUAUCUGAGCUGUAACC